rnacentral:tRNA from 1 species
GGGCCUAUAGCUCAAUUGGUUAGAGCAUCCGGCUCAUAACCGGACGGUUCAGGGUUCGAGACCCUGUAGGCCCA